UGAGCUGUGGAUAGCGGAGAAAUUCCAAUCGAACUCGGAGAUAGCUGGUUCUCCUCGAAAUAGCUUUAGGGCUAGCGUCGGGUAAUUGAGUAGUGGAGGUAGAGCACUGAAUGGGCUAGGGGCUGACAACAGUUACUGAACCCUAUCAAACUCCGAAUGCCAUAUACUUGUACCCCGGCAGUCAGACUACGAAUGAUAAGAUCCGUGGUCAAAAGGGAAACAGCCCAGACCAUCAGCUAAGGUCCCAAAGUGUAAGUUAAGUGGGAAAGGAUGUGGGAUUUCUAAGACAACUAGGAUGUUGGCUUAGAAGCAGCCACUCAUUUAAAGAGUGCGUAAUAGCUCACUAGUCGAGAGAUCCUGCGCCGAAGAUGUAACGGGGCUCAAACUUACCACCGAAGCUAUGGAUGUGUACUUUGUACACGUGGUAGAGGAGCUUUCUGUACAGGUUGAAGUCAUACCGUAAGGAGUGGUGGACAGUACAGAAGUGAGAAUGCUGGCAUAAGUAGCGAAAAACAAGUGAGAAUCUUGUUGACCGAAUAUCUAAGGUUUCCUGGGGAAGGCUCGUCCUCCCAGGGUUAGGCGGGACCUAAGCCGAGGCCGAAAGGCGUAGGUGAUGGACAACUGGUUGAUAUUCCAGUACCACCAUAAUGCGUUUGACAAAU
rnacentral:rRNA from 1 species